ensembl:lncRNA novel transcript
UCUUCAGCCUGAAACCCAUCCCUAGAGUCUUGCUGUGUCGCCAGGCUGGAGUGCAGUGGCACGAUCUCGGUUCACUGCAACCCCCGCCUCCCAGGUUCAAGCGAUUCUCCUGCCUCAGCCUCCCAAGUAGCUGGGACUACAGGCGUGCAUCACCAUGCCCAGAGUCAAGAAAACUUUUAAGCUAUUUACAACUUUUAACAAUUGAGUUAAGUAUACUCAAGAACAAAAUUCAGAGCAUAUUUGUUUCUCUCUACCUGAUUUCUACAGAUUUUGGAAACUAUUUGUGAGAUGCUGGCCAGUACAACUUUCUGCUCUGAUGGAACCAUGCUAGAUCUGCGCUUCCCACUUUGUAGCCAGUGGUCAUGCAUUGCUAUGGAGCAUUCAAAAUGUGGCUAAGGGAAAAUUAAUAGAGGACAAUGUGGUUGUGAAUUUUAGAAGGUCUUGAAAAGUACAGCCCACACACGUGGUGCUUACUCAGUGCUGUUACACAUAAGGCGGUAAGGGGAAUUU